GAUGAAGAACGUAGCGAAAUGCGAUAAGUAAUGUGAAUUGCAGAAUUCAGUGAAUCAUCGAAUCUUUGAACGCGCCUUGCGCCCUUUGGACAUUCCGAAGGGCAUGCCUGUUUGAGUAUCAUGAACACCUCAACUCUCACGGCUUGUCCGUGAUGAGCUUGGACUUUGGGGGUCUUGCCGGCCUGUGGUCGGCUCCUCUCAAAUGGAUCAGCUUGCCAGUGUUUGGUGGCAUCACAGGUGUGAUAACUAUCUGCGCUUGUGGUUUUCCAUCAGAUAACCUUCAGUGAUAUGGAGGUUCGCUGGAGCUCACAAAUGUCUCUCCUUAGUGAGGACAGCUCUUUGAACGUUUGAUCUCAAAUCAGGUAGGACUACCCGCUGAACUUAAGCAUAUCAAUAAGCGGAGGA
rnacentral:misc_RNA from 1 species